rnacentral:rRNA from 1 species
AUUGAACGCUGGCGGCAGGCCUAACACAUGCAAGUCGAGCGGAGCGGCGGACGGGUGCGUAAUGCCUAGGAAUCUGCCUGUUCGUGGUGGAUAACGUCCGGUACCGGGCGCUAAUACCGCAUACUAUCAGAUUAGCCUAGGUCGGAUUAGCUAGUUGGUGGUGUAAAGGCAUACCAAGGCGACGAUCCGUAACUGGUCUGAGAGGAUGAUCAGUCACACUGGAACUGAGACACGGUCCAGACUCCUACGGGAGGCAGCAGUGGGGAAUAUUGGACAAUGGGCGAAAGCCUGAUCCAGCCAUGCCGCGUGUGUGAAGAAGGCCUUCGGAUUGUAAAGCACUUUAAGUUGGGAGGCGUUACCCGCAGAAGAAGCACCGGCUAACUCCGUGCCAGCAGCCGCGGUAAUAC